rnacentral:rRNA from 1 species
UACAGAGGGUGCGAGCGUUAAUCGGAAUUACUGGGCGUAAAGCGCGCGUAGGCGGCUUUGCAAGCCGGAUGUGAAAUCCCCGGGCUUAACCUGGGAACUGCAUUCGGGACUGCAUUGCUAGAGUAUGGGAGAGGGAAGUGGAAUUUCAGGUGUAGCGGUGAAAUGCGUAGAUAUCUGAAGGAACAUCAGUGGCGAAAGCGACUUCCUGGACCAAUACUGACGCUCAUGUGCGAAAGCGUGGGAGCAAACAGG